rnacentral:rRNA from 1 species
GUUUACAGACAGACCACCCUGAACACUCCUGAUCUUGUCUGAUCUCAGAAGCUAAGCAGGACCGGGCCUGGUUAGUACUUGGAUGGGAGAUCAAUGCCCUUCUGGAGUGUCAGCUGCCCUGUGGGAU